rnacentral:lncRNA from 1 species
AGGUUGUCUCCCACCGUGCAUAUACCAUGGGUCCUGAUUUUCAACCACGUGCUUUGAUUAAGCAAAGGGCACUUUUGUGCACAGUCCCCACGGUCACAUCCAAUGUAUCCCUCUCUGUUUUAGGUUGUGAUCUUUCAUUCCCUGGCAAUAAACUGGUCUCUGGAGAUCACUGUAAAAUUAUUGUGGAUGAAAAAUCUGGUCAGGUGUCGCUGGAAGAUACCAGGUAAUCUCUUUCUUGUUUUGAAGCCGGUGGCUACAGAGAAGAAACAAGGGAUUAUUUUCUGUUAACACAGUAGUUCGCUAGUUUCCAGGUUAUUAGGAAAUAUAUUUUCUGGUUUCCAGUAACUCUUUCAUGCCUAUGAUGCUUCUUGAAUAUAUUCAAAUUAAAGCAAAAAUAUCUCUGAAAAAGGACUUAAAAGGCAGUGAUAACCUUCUAGUUGCAAACCUAUUCGAAUUAGACUUUUUUCCUCCAAACCAAAAAAAUCUUUUCUUUUUAAAAAAUUGUUACACAACAUAAAGAGUAGGUAAAAGUGAAAAGCUUUGCCAAAUCCUACUAGCCCACUAGAAAUUCGUAUGUGUUUAUUUUGUAUUAAGGAGGUUUUACUAUGUACGUUGUAUCCUUUUUUUUUUUCACUUUUAUUUAUGGCGAGCUUACAUUUGGUACAUCUAGAUUUAUCUUGUCUAUUUCAUUAUUAUUUUAUAAUAACUUACCUGUCAGUUCCUUUAUUGGUGGAGAUUUAUUAUUUUGACUUUUUCUUAUUAUAAACAACGCUGCGACUCUUCUCUUCCAAAACGCUUUGCAUUCAUGUCUGAUUAUUUUCUUGGGAUAAAUUCAUAGGAAGGAACGCUGUGUCAGAAUGUACCUAUUUUAAACCCAGGACAAGUAGCAGAUGGCCUUCCAGCAGUACGUUGAGAAUAUGCCUUUCCCAACCAGAUGAAUUUUUGUUUUUGUGAAGGUCAAGUGCUACGAGAUUGUUUGGUAACUACAAUGUUAGGGAUGAAAGACUAGAAAUUAGGUUUAUGAGGAUGAACUGAUGCUCCUUUCCUAUUCUGGUACGUAGCAGAUCAAGUUCCUUAUUUCCCAGCCCAAUGUAGGAUAACGUAGCACUGGUUCUAGAGUUGUCCUCAGGCAGCAGAUCCUGGCUUUCCAAUGCUGGCUGUAUGACUAUAUUGGCUUCUUGGGGCUCUUGUAACAAAUUACCACAAACUCAGUGGCUUCAAAGCACGCAAAGCUACGACCUUCUAGUGCUGAAUGUACAAAGUCUCACUCAGGUCUCAUUGGAUUAACCAAAUCAAGGUGUCAGCAGGGCCGGCUCCUUCUGGAGGCUCUAGGGGAGAAUCCGUUCCCUAGCUUUUCCAGCUUCUAGAGGCUCCUGCGUUCCUUGGCUGAGGUGCCUGGAGGGGAGAGGGUGUCCAUUCUUCACACGGGCAGCAGGAACUGCAGGUGCAGAGGCCCCGAGGCGCGAGCAGGCCCUGUGUGCCGAGGAGCAGUGAGUGGGAAGGCAGGGAAGUUAGACCGGAGCGGGAAGGCCCUGGUGUUCACACUAGGGAGCCUGGACUUUAGCCCGAGAGCAGUGACAGGUCAUCGGGGGUUUGAGCAGAAGAGCAAAGUCGGGCUCCUGUGGUUAGAAAGAGCACGAGAGUGGAGUGCGGAGGGCCCUGGCAGCACAGGCUCUGGCUGGCUGUGGCAGCACCACCAGUGUUUGUACGUGAGGUUUCGCUGGGACACGGCCACUCUCUCGACUACAUCCUGUGUGCGGCUGCUCUCGUGUGUCAGCGGCAGAGCCCAGGAGUUGGGACAGAGACCGUGUGACCGUACAGCCUGAACUGCUUACUUUCUGGCCCUUUCCAGAACACUGAAGGAGUAGAAGUCUGCUCAGAUGUAAAAAUAAAGCCUCUUCACCACCGGAGGCCUUAGGUGUGAAACCAUAGAGUUAAGACAUGGGUGGUUCGAACGCCUGAAGCUGGGUCAGUUUGUUUAGUUGCUGACUUUUGUUCUUGUCUCGUACACUGUUCGUCCACUUGUGAUUUUCUGUUGGGUCUCUACUCGGGUUUCUCCUCAGGGAAGCCCUUCCAGUCCCGUCUGACUUAGGCUCCCGCCUGUGCCCUCUGCAGCCCCCGCCUCUUCCACCUGGUGGUGUGGUCCCUGACGGACUGGAGUGACCUCCCGACCGAGGGACCACACCAUCUUCCAGCCCAGAGCCUCGAAUUCAUUUGCUUCUGCUCAGAACCCAUCUUUUAAGGGUGUCAGUGCCCAUCUGAGGGAUGAGCUGGCCUGCUGGGAGGGAAGGGUAGAUGAGUGGACAGAGUUAAGUGCAGAAGCGGGGGGAAGCUGGAAAUCGGAGCUGCUGGUAGAAGUCCAGGGUCCUCCAGAGGCCGGCGGAGGACAGAUGAUGUGCUGUUGGACAAGCAGAAAUGUUGAAGCACGGUCAGGCUGUCAGUAAGGGGGCAGCAGGCAAGCUUUCUCUCAGGAGAACUGUAGGGUGGCACUUGCACAUGUGCCUCGUUACAUGUUUACGUCAUUCUUGGGAGUAUUUUACAUUUUCGAAGGCGUAAUAUUGAACUUCUUUCUAAGUGGUGAUAGAAAAAGAAAAUUUUAACUCCCAAGUUAUUGUAAGUAGGAUACAUUGCAUUUUUGUUGUCUCUGCAGCACCAAUGGAACAGUAAUUAACAAGCUGAAGGUUGUUAAGAAGCAGACUUGUCCUUUGCAGACUGGGGAUGUCAUCUACUUGGUGUAUAGGAAGAAUGAGCCAGAAUACAGUAAGAGAGGGAAUGUACAGGGUGGGCCUCGGGUGGUGUAUGGUGGGGAAGUCUGGGCACAGCUGGAAAUCUUCGUGAAAGUGAGUCUGCUGAAGCAGGUAUUUCCCUUCAGACUGUCAGUGUUAGCUACAUUUUCUUUGUUCUUUAUGGAGACUCUUUUUUUUUUUUAAGGUUUAUUUAUUUUUGAGAGAGAGCACAAGCAGGGAAGGGGCAGAGAGAGAGGGAGGCACAGGAUGUGAAGCAGGCUCCAGGCUCUGAGCUGUCAGCGCAGAACCCGACGUGGGGCUCGAACCCAUGAACCGUGAGAUCAUGACCUGAGCUGAAGUCGGACGCUCAGCUGCCUGAGCCACCCGGGCUCCCCUUUAUGUAGAUUCUUGGUGUGAGUCCUGUUGAAGAGUGGGAGUGUUGACCUUGCACUGUGAGCCCCGGCCAUUCUUCACAAAUACCACAAUGCUCAUGAGUCUUGCAUUUCAAAAUGGCAAGGAGAAGUGAACAGGGAUGGGCUGGGUUACAUAGCAGAAGAUAAUCUGAGUUGUGGGGAGGAAGACCUAGAAUAAGGGGCUGAAGGCCGCUCAUGACUGCUUUUGGAGACCUUACGGGAGACAACAGAGGCCUGACGAUCCCCUUCAGGCUUUUCCAGAUCUGAGUGUCUAUGUUUGGGGAAGAAGAACGAAACAGGACAAGGAGAGUUGGGAGAGUUUUUGGAAGGUUACCCCCAAACUGGCAGGAGGAGGCAGAUACGCUCAGGCUGUCUGUAGCAUUGUCAAGGCCAGCCCCUGGCCCCGUGGCAGGGCCUUGUGUCUUCUCCUUCCGGUGGUUUGAAAUGACCGGCAAAGCACAGAUUCAUUAUCUACUCAUCGUUUUCUCUUCCCUGCGUCUGCCUUCUGGCUCAGGACGUUUUUUCCCGGAGGCUUAUUUAUUUUAAAGUUGGUGAAGAUGCUUUGGUUCGCUUAUUUUGAAAUUCCUUAAACUGGGUAGUGUUGUCAGUAGCUGGUAAGUCAACGUAGUCAACAACGACAAAGGGACUGAAGUGACAGAAAGGAGAAGAGGGAAGGAGCCCUGCUGGUACGUGAGGACACUGUUCUGAUCUGCUUGGUUUCAUUUCAGACGUGGCAUACCUCUACGAGUCUCUGCAUGAAAAGCAAGGCAUCACACAAGACCCCUUUGGUAAGUGAGACUGUGACAGAGGAGUGGGCGCGUGGUAAGGGCUGCUGAUUCUUACUGGCAAAGCCUUUUCAUCUGCUGGAAAGUCCUGCCUGAGGUAGUAGUGGUGCUCCUCCUGAGCCCUGACUCUACACUCCUUCUGCUCCUGUUGUGCUCACAGAAGCUAAUAAAGAGAAUGUGUUCCACGUGACCAAAGAUACCUCAGGUGCAGGGCAAGGUGACGAUCCCCAGGUCCUGCCGUCAUCGCCCACCACUCAGGCGUGCU